UAAUAUAAAGAAAAGGAGCUAUGCGCGAACAUAGCCCCAAUGCAGAACCGUUAAAAAGACGGUGACUGUCAUAUAAGGUUUUAACCA
rnacentral:sRNA from 1 species